AAGUCGAGUAUCUCCUGUCCUUCACUCGAUCACAUCACUCGACCCCGAGGUCGAGUGUCUUCACCUUCAUUGCCAGACCACUACUCGACCUCAUCACUCUCCCUGGAAGUCGAGUAUCACCAUCACACCACUCGACUGCAUACUUGAUGACAACCUUCAGAGCCUUCUUCAUUCCGCACUCAACCAGACACUCGAGCACAAGGAAGAAAAGAAGACUCCAGCUACACACUCGACCUCCCACUCGACCACAUGGGUCGAGUACAGUUCUUAAUCCAUCCCAAUACUUCGUCGUUUUGAGUAUUAGGGUUUCGGAAUAUUUGGCUAUAAGUAGCAUGUACUUCACAUUUUCGGAGAAAA
rnacentral:sRNA from 1 species